rnacentral:rRNA from 1 species
AACGAACGCUGGCGGCAUGCCUAACACAUGCAAGUCGAACGAGACCUUCGGGUCUAGUGGCGCACGGGUGCGUAACGCGUGGGAAUCUGCCCUUGGGUUCGGAAUAACAGUUGGAAACGACUGCUAAUACCGGAUGAUGACGUAAGUCCAAAGAUUUAUCGCCCAGGGAUGAGCCCGCGUAGGAUUAGCUAGUUGGUGGGGUAAAGGCCUACCAAGGCGACGAUCCUUAGCUGGUCUGAGAGGAUGAUCAGCCACACUGGGACUGAGACACGGCCCAGACUCCUACGGGAGGCAGCAGUGGGGAAUAUUGGACAAUGGGCGAAAGCCUGAUCCAGCAAUGCCGCGUGAGUGAUGAAGGCCUUAGGGUUGAAAAGCUCUUUUACCCGGGAUGAUAAUGACAGUACCGGGAGAAUAAGCCCCGGCUAACUCCGUG